UACGAAGGGGGCUAGCGUUGUUCGGAAUCACUGGGCGUAAAGCGCACGUAGGCGGAUCUUUAAGUCAGGGGUGAAAUCCCGAGGCUCAACCUCGGAACUGCCUUUGAUACUGGGGAUCUCGAGUCCGGGAGAGGUGAGUGGAACUGCGAGUGUAGAGGUGAAAUCCGUAGAUAUUCGCAAGAACACCAGUGGCGAAGGCGCUCACUGGCCCGAUACUGACGCUGAGGCACGAAAGCGUGGGGAGCAAACAGG
rnacentral:rRNA from 1 species